UACGAAGGGGGCUAGCGUUGCUCGGAAUCACUGGGCGUAAAGCGCACGUAGGCGGCUUACUAAGUCAGGGGUGAAAUCCUGGAGCUCAACUCCAGAACUGCCUUUGAUACUGGUGAGCUUGAGUCCGGAAGAGGUGAGUGGAACUGCGAGUGUAGAGGUGAAAUUCGUAGAUAUUCGCAAGAACACCAGUGGCGAAGGCGGCUCACUGGUCGUGUGACGCUGAGGUGCGAAAAGCGUGGGGGAGCAAACA
rnacentral:rRNA from 1 species